rnacentral:lncRNA from 1 species
UGUGGGUCCGCUAAGGUUGAGUAGGUUGAGUGAGUGAUUAGUUGAAUAGUAUAAUCUAAGGGAUAAAAAUAAUCAAAGGGUUAAAUCUAACGGUGGGAAAUUGAUAGCACCAAAUCCUGCUAUCGAUAGUAUCCCAGCCGUACUAUAUAUAUAUAUAUAUAUAUAUGAAGCCACAAUACUUCUUGCUACGUGGCAUAUUAUCCUUCAUUCUCAUAACCCAACUUUAAAUCAAACCACAACUCUUCACCUCCCCACUUCUCUAAUUAAUGCAAGGUGCAACAUUUAAUUAUAUGCAACUUUAAAUCCAACUUUAAAUCAAACUAACUUUAUUAUAUGAAUUAAGCCACAAUACUUCUUGCCACGUGGCAUAUUAUUCUUCAUUCUCAUAACCCAACUUUAAAUCAAACCACAACUCUUCACCUCCCCAUUUCUCUAAUUAAUGCAAAGUGCAACAUUUAAUUAUAUGCAACUUUAAAUCCAACUUUAAAUCAAACCACCUUCUUCUCUUCUCAACGCCGAACCCUUCACCUCCCCACUACUCUAAUUGCAUGCAAUGUGCAACAUUUAAUUACAUGCACUAUAUUAAUAUUCUAUCAAUGAGUGGACUUUAUAACUUUAAUCCACUCUCUUCCUCCAUUAAUCUCCUACCCCCUCUCUUUUGUAACUCUUUUGUAUGCAAAAAAAAAAAAUUAUCGUCUAAUCUCUCACUCCACAAUCAUCUCUCUCUUUCUCUCACUGUGUUAACGAAGAUGAUGAGGAAGAAGAAGAAGAAGAAGAAGAGCCUCCGAAGAACAUUGUCUCCUUCGAGAAGUAUCGUCCCGCGAAACCGAGCCGCAGCCUAUAUAAGUGCCUGCUGAACCGAUCCGCGUGGGGGCCCCUGCUCACCAUAUGAAUUUAGUCAUGCAAAUUAAUUGGUUGUGCAUAAUAUGGUAUAACUUUUUAUAUAUUAAUAAACUGUAAAUAUAAAUUUUAUUAAACUUUGCUACUUUGCUUCUAAUAACUAAAUGCUGUAUCGCGCGGAUCUCUACACUAGUAUAUAUAUUAUAUCCAUUAAUAGGACAGUGGAGGAAGCAAGUUGAGAGAGACUGAAAGAGGAUGGUAAUUGGAGAAUGUGAGGGUGGGAGUUAGAGAGGAAUGAUAGCUAGAGAAGGAAAGGAUUAUGUGAUUUAAAUGAUGGGUU